GACUUCCCUAGAAAUCAUGCGUGAAGAGGACAUUUCGGCGAUUUUGGAGCAAGAAGAGCAAGCAAUUCGCAAGCAAUGCGAUGAAAUUAUCAAGUUGAAGCCGGAUCUCGUGUUCACCGAAAAAGGAAUUUCCGAUUUGGCGCAACAUUUCCUACUUAAAGCCGGAAUUACAUGCUUGAGACGUCUCAAAAAGACUGAUAACAACCGAUUGGCUCGUGUCUGUGGAGCCCGUGUUGUACAUGAUACUUCAGAUUUAAGAGAUGAAGAUGUUGGAACUAAAGCCCAACUUUUUGAAGUUGUUAAAAUUGCUGAUGAGUAUUAUACUUAUGUUACGGCUGAAACUACGACCGCUUGUACUGUUGUACUUCGUGGACCAUCAAAGGAUGUCAUUAAUGAGGUAGAAGUUUACGAUUUUUGAUGGAAAAUUUGAUUUUCCCGCGAAAAAUUGAUCUACAGCGAGAUUUGGAGUGAAAAAUUGAGAUUUUUGACCCUAAAAUUCUCAUUUUCGAGGUUUUUCACUAGAAAAAGUACUCGAAACUUGAAUUUUUGAAUUAUUUUACCUAAAAUGUAGAAAUUGACGAUUUUUGAUGGAAAAUUUGAUUUUCCCGCGAAAAAUUGAUCUACAGCGAGAUUUGGAGUGAAACAUCGAGAUUUUUCGUCAUUUUUCAUUAGAAAAGUGCUCAAAACGAAUUUUUAAUGAUUUUUGCACGAAAAUCGGAUUUUCCCGCGAAAAAUUGAUCUACAGCGGGUUUUGGAGUGAAAUUUCUAGAUUUUUGACCCAAAAUCCGCGAAUUUUCCAUAAUUUUGACUCGAAUAGUGAUUUAAGGGGGAAAUUUAGGAUUUUCCCGCGAAAAAUUGACCUACAUCGAGUUUUGGAGUGAAAAAUUGAGAUCUUUUCACCUAAAAAUGCGUAUUUUCGAAGUUUUUCAGUAGAAAAGGAUUCGAAAAUUGAUUUUUUCGAUUUUUCCAAGAAAUUGCCGAUUUCUAACUGGAAAAUUUGGUUUUUCCUGCGAAAAAUUGAUCAAUAUCGAGUUUCGGAGUGAAAAAUUGAGAUUUUUCGUCAUUUUUCACUAGAAAAAGUGCUCGACAUUUGAAUUUUUGAUGAUUUCUGCACGAAAAAUUGGGCUAAAGCCCAACUUUUUGAAGUUGUUAAAAUUGCUGAUGAGUAUUAUACUUAUGUUACGGCUGAAACUACCACUGCUUGUACUGUUGUACUUCGUGGACCAUCAAAGGAUGUCAUUAAUGAGGUAGAAAUUUACGAUUUUUGAUGGAAAAUUUGAUUUUCCCGCGAAAAAUUGAUCUACAGCGAGAUUUGGAGUGAAAAAUUGAGAUUUUUGACCCUAAAAUUCUCAUUUUCGAGGUUUUUCACUAGAAAAAGUACUCGAAACUUGAAUUUUUGAAUUAUUUUACCUAAAAUGUAGAAAUUGACGAUUUUUGAUGGAAAUUCUGAUUUUCCCGCGAAAAAUUGACCUACAUCGAGUUUUGGAGUGAAAAAUCGAAAUUUUUUACCUAAAAAUGCGUAUUUUCGAAGUUUUUUCACUAGAAAAAGUACUCGAAACUUGAAUUUUUGAAUUAUUUUACCUAAAAUGUAGAAAUUGACGAUGUUUGAUAAAAAUUCUGAUUUUCCCGCGAAAAAUUGAUCUACGUCGAGUUUUGGAGUGAAAAAUCGAGAUUUUUCGUUGUUUUUCACUAGAAAAGUGCUCGAAAUUGAAUUUUUGAUGAAAAAUAUUUUAUUUUUCACGAAAAAUUGAUAAAAAUCAGAGGAAAACCCAUUUUUUCAGUCAAAAAACUGGAAAACCCCAAUUUUUAGACGAAAAAUCGUAUUUUCGAUCGAAAAUCAACAGAAAUUUCGAUUUUCCGUUCAAAAAAUAGCUGAAAUUUCAUAUUUUGAACUGGAAAAUGCUCAAUUUUCACUCAAAACAUCCCAAAAAAUACAGUUUUCAGCCUAAAAAGUUCGAAGAAACUGAAUUUUAGGCUUAAAAACUGCGAUUUAUAGCCAAAAAAUUGAGGUUUUCUCCAAUUUUUUACUCAAAACAUUCCAAAAAAUGCAAUUUUCAGCCCGAAAAGUCCAGAUUUUCACUCAAAAUUCUGUUUUCAAAUCGAAAAAAUCGCCAAAUCAGCUCAAAAAUUCGAAUUUUAGAGUCAAAAUCUUACGAAAAAUCCCAUUUUCAAGUCGAAAAAGCCCGAAAAUUCCCGAUUUUCCCCUCAAAAACCUCCAAAAAUCCAUUAAUUUUUGUAAUUUUCCAGGUCGAACGUAAUCUCCAAGACUCUCUUCACGUCGUCCGUAACAUUAUGAUCAAUCCAAAGCUUGUACCAGGUGGCGGAGCUCUUGAAAUGGCUUUGAGCCGUGAAAUUGAACAACAAGGAGCCAAAAUGGACGGAGUUAAGAAAUGGCCGUAUAAGGCGAUUGGAUUGGCUCUUGAAGUGAUUCCACGGACAUUAAUUCAGAAUUGUGGAGGUUCUACAAUUCGAAAAAUGACCGAAUUGCGUGCGAUUCACGCUCAAAACGCUGAAAAUUGGACUUUUGGAGUCGACGGAACCUCGGGAGACUUGGUACGGCGCUUUGUUGCCGAAAAUUCCGUGAAAUUCGAGAAAAUUGGCUCAAAAACUGAAAAAUUCCGUAAAAAUCCGGGAAAAUUGACCUAAAAAUUAGCGAAAUUCAUCGAAAAUCGAAUUUUUAUUGAAAAAUUUCAAAUUUUCAGCAAAAAAUAUCGAAAACUAUAAAUUUUCCAUUUGAAGAAAAAAUCGAUUUUUCACUGGAAUUCCCAUAAAAUUUGAAUUUUUCGAUGAAUUUUGCGAUUUUCGAGCUCAAAAUCGAGUUCCCCGCGAAAUUUCAGUCGGAAAAUCGAAAACUAGAGGUUUCUAGCUCAAUUUUGAAAUUUCCGGGGGUACGGUAGCGCCAAAAGUACGCAAACACAGACUACAGUCCCCCCAAAACACUCGAUUUCACGCGAUUUUCGAAUUUUGAGCUGAAAAUUUAAGAUUAGACUAAGAAAAUGGCGCUGAAAACGAAUUUUAUAAUAAAAAUGCACAGAAAUUAUUCGGAGCUCUCAAAAAAUGAGCAAAUUUUCAGAAAACCUUGAAUUUUAACCCGAAAAUUUGAAAAUUGCAAUUUUCUAUAAGAAAAAUCUGGAAAUGGCUCAAUAUCACUUUUUUACAUCAAAAAUUUUGGAAAAUUCUGGUUAAAACUAGCCAAAAUCGAUUUUUAUCACCAAAAAGUCUAGAAAAUCCUGAUUUUUAUGGAAUUUGUCGAUUUUCCAUAUAAAAUUCGAAUUCCCUGCAAAAUUGCAGGCAGAAAAUCGAAAUCUAGAGGUUUCUAGCUCAAUUUUGAAAUUUCCCGGGUUACGGUAGCGCCAAAAGUACGCAAACACCGACUACAGUACCCCCAAAACACCCGAUUUUACGCAAUUUUCGAAUUUUGAGCUGAAAAUUGAGUUUUAGACUAAGAAAAUGGCGGGGAAUUCGAAUUUGAACAAAAAAACUCCGGGAAAAAUCUCUGAAAAGCUCAAAAUGCACCAAAAAUGCUCAUUUUCUUGCAGGUUGACAUGAACAAACUGGAAAUCUGGGACCCACUGGCCGUCCGUAUUCAAGUUCUCAAAACAGCCAUCGAAACAUCGGUAAGGACGACGAGGAAAAUCGGAUUUUUCGCGAAAUUUUGACGAAAAAAGCGGAAAAUUCGCGGCUUUUCGCCCGGAAAAAUGGAUUUUUCCGUUAAUUUUGCCGAAUUUCAGCUGAGAAUUACAAAAAAUUCGAAUUUUUCACUCAAAAAAUCGAUAAAAAUAUGGAAAACUACGGAAAAUUUGAGUUUUCGCCGGAAAAAACGGAAAAUUUGGCGGAAAAAUCCAAUUUUUUGUGGAAAAAAAGCGAUAUUUGACUCAAAAAAUCGAAAUUUUUCCGAAAAUUUUCAAAGAUUUCGCUUUAAAAAAUUUAAAUUUAGCGGAAAUUUUCAAUUUUUGACUCAAAAAAUUGAAAUUUUGACGAAAAAAGCGGAAAAUUCGCGGCUUUUCGCCCGGAAAAAUGGAUUUUUCCGUUAAUUUUGCCGAAUUAUACCUGAAAAUUGCAAAAUUGACGGAAAAUUUUCAAUUUUUCAAUGAAAAAACUGAAAAUUUUGAAUUUUUUGGUCAAAAAAAUCGAAAUUUGGCUGAAAUGUUGAACUUUUGGUGAAAAAAUCGGAAAUUUUAAUAAAAAUUCGAUUUUUUCACUCAAAAAAUUGAUAAAAAAACUAUGGAAAACUACUGAAAAUUUGAAUUUUUCACAUAAAAACCCAAAUUUUGGCGGAAAUUUCAAAGAUUUCGUCUUAAAAAAUUAAAAUUUAGCGGAAAUUUUGAAUUUUUGACUCAAAAAAAAUCGAUUUUUCCACUAAAAUCUCCCAAUUUUUGCAGGUUAUGCUUCUCCGUAUCGACGAUAUUGUUUCGGGAACAAAGAAGGCUGUCGGAGGCGAAAAACAGGAAAUGAUGCCACAAUAAAUCCCUUUUUUCUUCAUUUUUUCAUUAUUUUUUCCCUUUUUU
rnacentral:sRNA from 1 species